rnacentral:lncRNA from 1 species
UAGCAAGCGUGGGGGGUUGUUUGCCCGACGGACCAAGUCCAGGUACCGCGCAGGCGCCUGCGGAAGUUCACGCACCACCGGGAGAGGCGCCUGGGUUCCUCCGUGCACCGGUUGCCACCAUCCUCUUCCUGAGUCAUCCCCGGAGCAGGACCGGACCGGAGCUGACACCAGCUCCCCGCGUGUCCUCCUCAGCACCUGUGUGACUUCCUUGUUCCCGGGAUGUGGCGACAACGCCUGACUGAUGUGGCCGUCUGGAUGGACACAAGCCAUCAUAGCCCCAUGAGCCUUCUGGGACAUCCUUGGUCCGGCCAGAACUGCUUUGGAGGUAUAACGAUGUGGCACAAGCCAGCUACAGAAAUACGGUUGGAGGCUUCGAGAACAGCCCUGGAUCCGGCUUUGUAUAACAGAUCCCAGACGUGGGCUUGUGCAGGCAGGCAGCCCGGCCCCGGCGCCAGGAGCGGGCCUCUCCAGCCCUGAGUAAUUCCCGGGUCUGAAAGCCAGGUGCUCCUCGUGGAGGAUGAGCUUGUUGCACAAACACAGGCGAUCCACACUGAAGAAGUUUGGCAUAAGUUCUGCACAUACCCCGGUAAGGAUAUUUGCCAAAAGGAAAGAGGAAAUUCCUGCCAAUUUAGCCAUGAAUGAACUGUUUUGAGGCAUCUGUACACUUUUACAUACUAAAGAGAGAAAGC